rnacentral:rRNA from 1 species
UACGGAGGGUGCAAGCGUUAUCCGGAAUCAUUGGGUUUAAAGGGUCCGCAGGCGGGAUUGUAAGUCAGUGGUGAAAAGCGGUAGCUCAACUAUCGUCGUGCCAUUGAUACUGCAGUCCUUGAAUUCGAUUGGAGUGGGCGGAAUAUGUCAUGUAGCGGUGAAAUGCUUAGAUAUGACAUAGAACACCGAUAGCGAAGGCAGCUCACUAAGUCUGAAUUGACGCUCAUGGACGAAAGCGCGGGUAGCAAAC